ensembl:lncRNA IQANK1 IQ motif and ankyrin repeat containing 1
UUUUUCCAGGUGCAGGCUCCUGGUGGGAAACCAAGAGGCCGCUCUUCUGCUCUCAGUGUCAGGGAAAGGCAGGGACGCCCCCAUUUUGCUUUCUGUAGUUUGAGGUGGACUCCUAGCCUUCCUCCAGGACAGCCCCGCCUCACUGGCUAGGCGUCUGGGGGCCUCAGCCGCUCUGCGGGGUGUGGGGCAGACAGGACCAGGGAGCUCCAUCUUGUCGAGGGAAACUCAAACUGCAGGCCACAGAGCCAGGAGCUGCAUCCUGGCCACACUGACCCUCAGGCCUUCCCAUCAGGAGCCUGUACCUGGAGAAGGUGACACCAAGACACAGGGAGCCCCAUGACCCCUGCCAUGGUGCCUCUUUUUGCUACAAAGUGGGUUUCCAGCUCAGAAGCAGGGCUGCCGGGGGUGCUAGGACCGCACAGGUGGGGUUGGCAGGGGGGAUUCUACACAUGUGCCUGGGAGUCUAUUUCAGGCAGAACAGACUGUGUCCCUUGAGAGCAGCAGGUGUGAAGUGAAACUGCCCUGCCUCCAGACGGCGGGCUCAGGGCGAGGCACUUAGCGUGGAGGGCGUGCUAGGCUCCAGCCCACAGCGGUGGCCACCCAGCUGACAUGCCUUCGGAGGAGUCCAUGCCGCUGACUCAGCGCUUUCUGUGCCGCAGGGACACCUGGUCGCCAUCACAUGGACACGCUAUUUUUGCACUCGAGGCUAUUCCAGGAAGUCCAUCCAGACAGAGCACGCCUUCCCCAGCCUCCUCUUAUUGGCCUGCAGCCCUGCUCUCCCCACGUCUGGUGAUCUGUAAAGAGGGCUUGUUCUGCGUGGGUGGGACCUGCUCUAGAUCCAUCUUGGAAAAUGAGCUCAUGCCGUUGGUGUAACCACCAUUCCUGCCCCCAUGCCACUCUGCCCCGGGGCCUGCUGGCUGACGUCCAUGGUGCAGUCGUGAUGUCCACGAGCCUGUCUGUGCCCUCGCUGCGGCCGACUCUCUCUAGGAGCGUCCCCACAGGAUGCAGAACCUCCCUUUGAGCUCGGUGUUCCCUGCUCCUCACAGAGCCACCCCCAAGCCUUUCCCAGCUGUCCGCAUCACCACUGUCCCGGGCUCGUUCACUUCAGGCCCUGGAGAGCCAGCCCAGCCCUCACUGGUGUCCGGAGUCAGUGAUACACAGCGCUCAAGUGACUCUUCCCACCCACAGGAAGUGGGUGAUGAGGUGCCCCCCGGGGGCUUCCCUUGCUGCUGCCCGCCAGGAUCUCCCUGCUUGGGACUACAGCAUGCGGGGGAGGUCAGGCUGGAGUUGGUGUGGGAGCCUUUCCCAGCCUUUCCUCUGCAUUGGUGCCCUCCCCAGGAGGCAUCUGAGCUGCAAAAGGGGCGAAUGCGAUGUAGACACUUGGGCCCCGGGACUCGCCUGUGUCAUCUGGGCUGGGCCCCACAAACACCACAAACACCUUUUCCACCACGCAAUAGAUGGCUGCUGGGCUGCCCAGGGGUGUGAUGUGGAGCUGGGAAACCCAGCCUGGGAAGGCAGCAUUCCAGGAGCUGCUUUCCAAAAGAAGAAUAGCCUCCACCAGGAAGGUGUGGCUGAGCCCCAGAGCCCCAGAAACCUGCGGGAAGCUCCAAAGGGGGGCCUGCCAGAGGAUACACAACCACCCUACCUCCUGCACACGGGAUCCUCCAACCAGACAGUGUGGCCCAAGCAGCCUGGCUACUUUCACCUUAGCCAGCAGCCCUGGGCCACACUGGGGAUGGUCCCAAACAUGGCCUGUGCUGCUGUCACGGUGCUAAGGGGCCUGGCAAGCACGGGGUCUUUCUUGCUGGACGGAGGCACAGGUGCCAGAAUCUAUCUUUUGCCCUACAGUGUCCCGGCACAGCCUAGAUCUAUGGACCCCUUCACCGGGUGCUUUAUCCCCCACCCCCCAGAACUCCUGGGACCAUUGAGAUGCCCAGGAGAUGGGGGGGCCCUGUGCCUGUGUCCCGUUGCUGCUAUAGCAGCCACCACAUCUACCAGCUCUGCAGGGUAGCCACCGGGCACGGCCUUGCCAGGCUGACGUCGAGGAAAGCCAGCCGUGCUGUGGGUUUCCUUCCCUCUGGCUCUCCACUUCUGCCUCCCUCUUCCACUGUUUUUGGUUUGGGUUUUUGUUUUGUUCCGUUUUGUUUUUUUUUGAGACAGGGUCAGCUGUCUUGCCCAGGCUGGAGUUCAGGGGCUAUUCCCAGGUGUAACCCUAGCUCACUGCAACCUCCAACUGCUGGGCUUAAGUGAUCCUCCUGCCUCAGCCUGAGUAGCUGGGACUACAGGUGUGUGCUCCCACGUCUGGCAAGCCUCUUUCAGUAUAACUGUAUGGGUUUUUCUCCAUCUUUUUUUCGUCUUUACAAUUUUUGUUCUCAAGGACUUGGGCUGUUUGACUUGAGUCUUCCAGUCUGGAUUUUGCUGAUAAGAUGGAACACCUCGAGAGUGCAUCUUUGUUAACAUUUAGACAUGCGUCCCCUCCUCGCUUGCUCAGUGGAAUUACGAUUGCACUUGGAAAUGUAUCGUGUUGGGUGUGUUCCUUAAGCUGAACUUCCGUAGAUCUGGCAGGACAUUUAACACCAGAACACGAAGCCUGCUUCAGAAGUGACUGAAACGGCAUCUGCCUCACAGUGCAUAUUUAAAAAAUGAUUUUGUUGUGUGAAUAAUUAUGCUGCCAUCUACAGAUAAGUGAGAUCAGAAACAUUAGUUUCAUAUAUUGUAGUUUUUAGUUUCUGAAUACUUAUUGGAUUCUUUUUCUUUUUUUUUUGAGAUGGAGUUUCGCUCUGUUGCCAGGCUGGAGUGCACUGGGGCUUGGCUCACUGCUACCUCCGCCUCCCAGGUUCAGGCAAUUCUCCUGCCUCAGCCUCCUGAGUAGCUGGGACUACAGGCACCCACCACCACACCCAGCUAGUUUUUGUGUUUUUAGUAGAGACAGGGUUUCACCAUGUUGGCCAGGAUGGUCUCGAUCUCUUGACCUUGUGAUCCGCCCGUCUCAGCCUCCCAAAGUGCUGGGAUUACAGGCGUGAGCCACCAGGCCUGGCUCCUUUUCCACUUUCAUGGACCCUCGUGAUUGCAUUGGAUCUCCCCGGGUAAUCUGGGAUGUUCUUCCUGGCCUAAGGUCAGCUGAUUAGCAACCUUAGUUCAUCUGCAGUCUCCAUUCUCUUUUUGCUGAAUCACGUCAAGUAUUCACAAGUUCCAGGGGGCAGGAGGUGGACAUCUUUGGGGGACAUUAUUCCGCCCACCAGAAAACCCAGGAGCAGCCACAGCCCCAAGACGAGGCAGGGAAGGAGUGCUGCUGUCUGCCGGUGAAGAUGAACUGCUUCUGACCCUCCCGAGCGAGGAUAUUGAGAAGAAAGAAUUUGCCAAGAUGCUAGUCACACACCAAGUACAGAGGCUAUGUUGGUCGGCUGCAGCAAAAAGACCACUCGCGGCGUGGCAGCUCUCACUGGCCCUGCUGCCUCUUCAAGUUGACUGCAGUCCAUCACCCACGGUCAUUAUUAAUUUGUUUUUGCAAAGGCCAGGCAGGUGAAUCUAAUGGAGAUGGAAACCACCACACCUGCUUCCCUGGUCUCUGAUGUUGGUGUUAACCUCUGCAAUUCCUCAAGCAAAGCACUCCUUCUAUCAGGCUCACUGUCUUGCUGGAGGGAGGAAGUUCCACAGGCUCUCACUUGGUUCUUUCUGCCGUAACAACCCUUACUCCUCCGGCCAAGGAGCCAAUGUGAGCAUUCAGCUGGCAGCUAAGAAUGUGUAUCCCAAUAAACAGGGCAGACCUACAGACCCACUGGACCCACUAGAGAUGGACUUGGGCCACAGUGCCUUCCAUGACUUCAGUAAACAGAGGGGUGUGGUGAUCUUGUCAAAGUCCUGGCGUCAAUGUCAGUGUCCGGCUACACACCAUGUUCCCGUCCUCGAAAAGCCUCUCUGUACCCCUCUAUGUUGGUGACACAACCCUGGCAAAUGGCCACAGACUCCUUUGGGGACAGAGUAGGAGCGUAACUGGUGGGAGUGGUUGGCAUGCUUUGUAUUGGGAGAGCCGCACGCCCUAGGGCUUCCAGCCUCCUCUUCAGUUUGGCAGCUGUGAGUCUGAAUUUCACUCAAAUCUGGAAACUGGGUGAGAGACUGUGGCAGCUGCUGUCCGGCUGGCAGAGCCUGACGUGUCUCUGAUCAUACUCACUGGGUCAGCAACACCCUACUGACCUUGUCCAGAAUCCCACAUCCCAGUUGAUAUCAGGGCAAUCAGUUUCCUGGCUGUUUUCCCCAAUAUCAACCCGGGCUUACAGAAGACAGUCACCACAGAGCUCCUGCCAGGAGUUCACUCAUUCGUGCAUUUCUUCCUUUUUUUUUUCUUUUUGAGAUGGAGUCUCGCUCUGUCGCCCAGGCUGGAGUGCAGUGGAGCGAUCUCGGCUCAUUGCAACCUCCGCCUCCUGGGUUCAAGCGAUUCUCUUGCCUCAGCCUCCCAGGUAGCUGGGAUAGCAGGUGUGUGCCACCAUGCCCAGCUAAUUUUUGUAUUUUUAGUAGAGAUGGGGUUUCAUCAUGUUGCCCAGGCUGGUCUCAAAUUCCUGACCUCAGGUGAUCUGCCCUCAGCCUCCCAAAGUGCUGGGAUUACAGGCUUCAGCCACCACACCCAGCCUCAUUCAUACAUUUCUUAUUGUUGUUGUUUGAGACAGGGUCUUUCUCUGUCACCCAGGAUGGAGUGCAGUGUUGUGAUCAUGCCUCAGUGCAGCGAUCAUGGCUCAGUGCAGCCUCAAACUCUUGGGCUCAAGCAGUGCUCCAACCUCAGCCUCCUGAGUAGCUAGGACUAUAGGCACACAGCACCAUGCCCCGGCUAUUUUUUUAUUUUGUAGAGAUGGGGUCUCACUAUGUUGCCCAGGCUAGUAUUGAACUCCUGGCCUCAAGCAAUCCUCCCACCUCGGCCUCCCAAAGUGCUGGGAUUAAAGGCGUGAGCCACCGUACCUUGCCCUUGGUGGAAUCUUUAGGGUUUUCUAUUCAUACAUAUAAAAUCAUAUCAUUGGCAAACAGAGAUAAUUUUACUUCCUCCUUUCCAAUUUGGAUGCCUUAGAUUUCUUUUCCUUGCCUAACUGCUCUGUCUAGAACUCCCAGCACUAUGCUGAAUAGAGUGGCAAGAGCAGGCAUUUGCCUUGUUCCUAACCUUAGAGAAAAAUCCUUCAGCCUUUUACCAUUGAGGAUGAUGUUUGCUGUUAGUUUUUCAUAAAUGAUCUAUAUCAGGCUGAAUAAAUUUCUAUUUCU